GCUUAACCGGAGAAGUGCAUCGGAAACCGGGAGACUUGAGUGCAGAAGAGGACAGUGGAACUCCAUGUGUAGCGGUGAAAUGCGUAGAUAUAUGGAAGAACACCAGUGGCGAAGGCGGCUGUCUGGUCUGCAACUGACGCUGAGGCUCGAAAGCAUGGGUAGCGAACAGGAUUAGAUACCCUGGUAGUCCAUGCCGUAAACGAUGAGUGCUAAGUGUUGGAGGGUUUCCGCCCUUCAGUGCUGCAGCUAACGCAUUAAGCACUCCGCCUGGGGAGUACGACCGCAAGGUUGAAACUCAAAGGAAUUGACGGGGGCCCGCACAAGCGGUGGAGCAUGUGGUUUAAUUCGAUGCUACGCGAAGAACCUUACCAGGUCUUGACAUCUUCUGCCAACCUAAGAGAUUAGGCGUUCCCUUCGGGGACAGAAUGACAGGUGGUGCAUGGUUGUCGUCAGCUCGUGUCGUGAGAUGUUGGGUUAAGUCCCGCAACGAGCGCAACCCUUAUUGUUAGUUGCCAGCACUUAGUUGGGCACUCUAGCAAGACUGCCGGUGACAAACCGGAGGAAGGUGGGGAUGACGUCAAAUCAUCAUGCCCCUUAUGACCUGGGCUACACACGUGCUACAAUGGACGGUACAACG
rnacentral:rRNA from 1 species